rnacentral:rRNA from 1 species
GAUGAACGCUGGCGGCGUGCCUAAUACAUGCAAGUCGAGCGAACAGACGAGGAGCUUGCUCCUUCGACGUUAGCGGCGGACGGGUGAGUAACACGUAGGUAACCUACCUAUAAGACUGGGAUAACUUCGGGAAACCGGAGCUAAUACCGGAUAAUAUUUCGAACCGCAUGGUUCGAUAGUGAAAGAUGGCUUUGCUAUCACUUAUAGAUGGACCUGCGCCGUAUUAGCUAGUUGGUAAGGUAACGGCUUACCGAGGCAACGAUACGUAGCCGACCUGAGAGGGUGAUCGGCCACACUGGAACUGAGACACGGUCCAGACUCCUACGGGAGGCAGCAGUAGGGAAUCUUCCGCAAUGGGCGAAAGCCUGACGGAGCAACGCCGCGUGAGUGAUGAAGGCCUUCGGAUCGUAAAACUCUGUUAUUAGGGAAGAACAAACGUGUAAGUAACUGUGCACGUCUUGACGGUACCUAAUCAGAAAGCCACGGCUAACUACGUG